rnacentral:rRNA from 1 species
AUUGAACGCUAGCGGGAGGCCUUACACAUGCAAGUCGAACGAGUGGCGGACGGGUGAGUAAUGUCUGGGAAACUGCCCGAUGGAGGGGGAUAACUACUGGAAACGGUAGCUAAUACCGCAUACCAUCGGAUGUGCCCAUAUGGGAUUAGCUAGUUGGUGGGGUAAAGGCUCACCAAGGCAACGAUCCCUAGCUGGUUUGAGAGGAUGACCAGCCACACUGGAACGGAGACACGGUCCAGACUCCUACGGGAGGCAGCAGUGGGGAAUAUUGGACAAUGGGGGAAAGCCUGAUGCAGCCAUGCCGCGUGUAUGAAGAAGGCCUUCGGGUUGUAAAGUACUUUCAGCAGGGAGGCGGUACCCGCAGAAGAAGCACCGGCUAACUACGUGCCAGCAGCCGCGGUAAUAC